rnacentral:rRNA from 1 species
GUGGAUUAGAUACCCUAGUAGUCCUGGCAGUAAACGGUGCGCGUUUGGUGUGGGAGGAUUCGACCCCUUCUGUGCCGGAGCUAACGCGUUAAACGCGCCGCCUGGGGAGUACGGUCGCAAGAUUAAAACUCAAAGAAAUUGACGGGGGCCCGCACAAGCGGUGGAGUAUGUGGCUUAAUUCGAUGCAACGCGAAGAACCUUACCUAGCCUUGACAUGCAUCUCUAAGUCGGUGAAAGCCGGCGACUGUAGCAAUACAGAAUUUGCACAGGUGCUGCAUGGUCGUCGACAACU